rnacentral:tRNA from 1 species
GGGGUAAUGGCUGAGAGGUUAAAGCGCUACAUUGCUAAUGUGGUUUACUAUUGUAAUCACGGGUUCAAAUCCCGUUUACCCCU